rnacentral:rRNA from 1 species
AUACGUAGGGGGCGAGCGUUGUCCGGAAUUACUGGGCGUAAAGGGUGCGUAGGCGGCUGAUCAAGUCAGAUGUGAAAUACCACGGCUUAACUGUGGGGGUGCAUUUGAAACUGGUUAGCUUGAGUGCAGGAGAGGAAAGCGGAAUUCCUAGUGUAGCGGUGAAAUGCGUAGAGAUUAGGAGGAACACCGAUGGCGAAGGCGGCUUUCUGGACUGUAACUGACGCUGAGGCACGAAAGCGUGGGGAGCGAACAGGAUUAGAUACCCUGGUAGUCCACGCCGUAAACGAUGGAUACUAGGUGUAGGGGGUAUCGACCCCUCCUGUGCCGGAGUUAACGCAAUAAGUAUCCCGCCUGGGGAGUACGGCCGCAAGGUUGAA